GUUCUUUUGGGGAUAUCCGAUGAAAUUGGAACGAUUUAGAGAAGAUUAUUUUGACCUAUGCGCAAGGAUGAUAUGCAAAAAUCGAGAAAUCAUCCAUGCAAUU